CCUACGGGUGGCAGCAGUAGGGAAUAUUGCUCAAUGGGGGAAACCCUGAAGCAGCAACGCCGCGUGGAGGAUGAAGGUUUUCGGAUUGUAAACUCCUUUUGUUAGAGAAGAUAAUGACGGUAUCUAACGAAUAAGCACCGGCUAACUCCGUGCCAGCAGCCGCGGUAAUACGGAGGGUGCAAGCGUUACUCGGAAUCACUGGGCGUAAAGAGCGCGUAGGCGGGAUAGCCAGUCAGAUGUGAAAUCCUAUGGCUUAACCAUAGAAAUGCCUUUGAAACUGUUAUUCUUGAGUAAUGGAGUGGUAGGUGGAAUUCUUGGGGGAAGGGUAAAAACCGUAGAGAACCAGAAGAA
rnacentral:rRNA from 1 species